rnacentral:rRNA from 1 species
AUUGAACGCUGGCGGCAUGCCUUACACAUGCAAGUCGAACGGCAGCACGGGAGCAAUCCUGGUGGCGAGUGGCGAACGGGUGAGUAAAGUAUCGGAACGUGCCCAGUCGUGGGGGAUAACGUAGCGAAAGUUACGCUAAUACCGCAUACGAUCUAUGGAUGAAAGCGGGGGAUCGCAAGACCUCGCGCGAUUGGAGCGGCCGAUAUCAGAUUAGGUAGGUGGUGGGGUAAAGGCUCGCCAAGCCGACGAUCUGUAGCUGGUCGGAGAGGACGACCAGCCAACAUGGGACGGAGAGACGGCCCAGACUCCUACGGGUGGCAGCAGUGGGGAAUUUUGGACAAUGGGCGCAAGCCUGAUCCAGCCAUGCCGCGUGCAGGAUGAAGGCAUUCGGGUUGUAAACUGCUUUUGUACGGAACGAAAAGGCUUGACUUAAUACGUUGGACUCAUGACGGUACCGUAAGAAUAAGCACCGGCUAACUACGUGCCAGCAGCCGCCGUAA